rnacentral:misc_RNA from 1 species
AAAGUCGUAACAAGGUUUUCGUAGGUGAACCUGCGGAAGGAUCAUUAGUGAAUUACAAUAGAGUGCUCGCAAGAGGCUCGUAACACUAUUUAAACACUGUGAACUUGUCUUAUCUUUGAGGAAAUGGUCAAAAGUCUUGAUUGACUGGCGACUGGCUUCUCGAGGGUUUUAACACUUGUCUUCAAACAAGUCUGAUGGAAUGUAGUUGAAAUUGAUUAAAUUGAAAGUAUAACUUUCAGCAACGGAUUUCUUGGCUCUC